UACGGAGGGUGCAAGCGUUGUUCGGAAUCACUGGGCGUAAAGCGCGUGUAGGCGGCCUUCUAAGUCUGGUGUGAAAGCCCGGGGCUCACCCCCGGACGUGCACUGGAUACUGGAAGACUAGAGUACUGGAGAGGAGGGUGGAAUUCCUGGUGUAGCGGUGAAAUGAGUAGAUAUCAGGAAGAACACCGGUGGCGAAGGCGGCCCUCUGGACGGAUACUGACGCUGAGACGCGAAAGCGUGGGGAGCAAACAGG
rnacentral:rRNA from 1 species